rnacentral:rRNA from 1 species
GAUGAACGCUGGCGGCGUGCUUAACACAUGCAAGUCGAACGGUGAAGGCGGAGCUUGCUCUGCUGGAUCAGUGGCGAACGGGUGAGUAACACGUGAGCAAUCUGCCCCUGACUCUGGGAUAAGCGCUGGAAACGGCGUCUAAUACUGGAUACGAGCUGCGAAGGCAUCUUCAGCAGCUGGAAAGAACUUCGGUCAGGGAUGAGCUCGCGGCCUAUCAGCUUGUUGGUGAGGUAACGGCUCACCAAGGCGUCGACGGGUAGCCGGCCUGAGAGGGUGACCGGCCACACUGGGACUGAGACACGGCCCAGACUCCUACGGGAGGCAGCAGUGGGGAAUAUUGCACAAUGGGCGAAAGCCUGAUGCAGCAACGCCGCGUGAGGGACGACGGCCUUCGGGUUGUAAACUUCUUUUAGCAGGGAAGAAGCGAAAGUGACGGUACCUGCAGAAAAAGCGCCGGCUAACUACGUG